rnacentral:rRNA from 1 species
AGAGUUUGAUCCUGGCUCAGAUUGAACGCUGGCGGCAUGCCUUACACAUGCAAGUCGAACGGCAGCACGGGGGCAACCCUGGUGGCGAGUGGCGAACGGGUGAGUAAUACAUCGGAACGUGUCCUGGAGUGGGGGAUAGCCCGGCGAAAGCCGGAUUAAUACCGCAUACGCUCUGAGGAGGAAAGGGGGGGAUCUUCGGACCUCUCGCUCAAGGGGCGGCCGAUGGCAGAUUAGCUAGUUGGUGGGGUAAAGGCCUACCAAGGCGACGAUCUGUAGCUGGUCUGAGAGGACGACCAGCCACACUGGGACUGAGACACGGCCCAGACUCCUACGGGAGGCAGCAGAGGGGAAUUUUGGACAAUGGGCGCAAGCCUGAUCCAGCAAUGCCGCGUGUGUGAAGAAGGCCUUCGGGUUGUAAAGCACUUUUGUCCGGAAAGAAAACCUCAGCCCUAAUACGGCGGGGGGAUGACGGUACCGGAAGAAUAAGCACCGGCUAACUACGUGCCAGCAGCCGCGGUAAUACGUAGGGUGCGAGCGUUAAUCGGAAUUACUGGGCGUAAAGCGUGCGCAGGCGGUUCGUUAAGACAGAUGUGAAAUCCCCGGGCUUAACCUGGGAACUGCAUUUGUGACUGGCGGGCUAGAGUAUGGCAGAGGGGGGUAGAAUUCCACGUGUAGCAGUGAAAUGCGUAGAGAUGUGGAGGAAUACCGAUGGCGAAGGCAGCCCCCUGGGCCAAUACUGACGCUCAUGCACGAAAGCGUGGGGAGCAAACAGGAUUAGAUACCCUGGUAGUCCACGCCCUAAACGAUGUCAACUAGUUGUCGGGUCUUCAUUGACUUGGUAACGUAGCUAACGCGUGAAGUUGACCGCCUGGGGAGUACGGUCGCAAGAUUAAAACUCAAGGAAUUGACGGGACCCGCACAAGCGGUGGAUGAUGUGAU